CGGCAACAGCUCAAAUUUGAAAUCUGGCUCCGGCCCGAGUUGUAAUUUGCAGAGGAAGCUUCUGGUGAUAUACCGUCUAAGUCCCCUGGAACGGGGUGCCACAGUGGGUGAGAGCCCCAUGUGACGGAUGUAGAUCCUGUGUGAAGCUCCUUCGAC
rnacentral:rRNA from 1 species